rnacentral:rRNA from 1 species
UACGGAGGGUGCAAGCGUUGUCCGGAUUUAUUGGGUUUAAAGGGUGCGUAGGUGGCCCUGCAAGUCCGUGGUGAAAGCCUGCCGCUUAACGGCAGAACUGCCAUGGAUACUACAGGGCUUGAGUCCAGACGAGGUUGGCGGAAUGGAUGGUGUAGCGGUGAAAUGCAUAGAUACCAUCCAGAACCCCGAUUGCGUAGGCAGCUGACUAGGCUGGUACUGACACUGAGGCACGAAGGCUAGGGGAGCAAACGGG